rnacentral:rRNA from 1 species
GAUGAACGCUGGCGGCGUGCCUAAUACAUGCAAGUCGAGCGAACAGACGAGGAGCUUGCUCCUCUGACGUUAGCGGCGGACGGGAGAGUAACACGUGGAUAACCUACCUAUAAGAAUGGGAUAACUUCGGGAAACCGAAGCGAAAACCGGAUAAUAUAUUGAACCGCAGGGUUGAAUAGUGAAAGACGGUUUUGCUGUCACUUAUAGAUGGAUCCGCGGCGCAGCAGCUAGUUGGCGAGGUGACGGCCUACCAAGGCGACGAUGGGUAGCCGACCUGAGAGGGCGACCGGCCCCCCUGCGCCUGGGGCACGGCCCAGACUGCUUCGGUCGGCAGCGGUGGGGAAUAUUGCGGAACGGGCGGAAGCCUGAUGCAGCGAUGCCGCGUGCGAAAUCACUGCUUUCGGGUUGUAAACAUCUUUCAGCAUGGCCGAACCGUAAGUGACGUUACCUGCAGAAAAAGCGCCGGCCAACUACGUG